rnacentral:tRNA from 4 species
GGAGGGGUGGCCGAGUGGCUGAAGGCGCACGCUUGGAAAGCGUGUAUACAGGCAACUGUAUCGUGGGUUCGAAUCCCACUCCCUCCGCCA